AGGAACGCUGGGCGGGCAGGCUUAGACAUGCAAUUCGAGCGGGCGAGGUUGCUUCGGUAACUGAGCUAGCGGCGGACGGGUGAGUAAUGCUUAGGAAUCUGCCUAUUAGUGGGGGACAACAUUCCGAAAGGGAUGCUAAUACCGCAUACGUCCUACGGGAGAAAGCAGGGGCUCUUUAUGACCUUGCGCUAAUAGAUGAGCCUAAGUCGGAUUAGCUAGUUGGGGGGGUAAAGGCCUACCAAGGCAACAAUCUGUAGCGGGUCUGAAAGGAUGAUCCGCCACACUGGGACUGAAACACGGCCCAAACUCCUACGGGAGGCAGCAGUGGGGAAUAUUGGACAAUGGGGGGAACCCUGAUCCAGCCAUGCCGCGUGUGUGAAGAAGGCCUUUUGGUUGUAAAGCACUUUAAGUGGGGAGGAGGCUUACCUGGUUAAUACCUGGGCUAAGUGGACGUUACCCACAGAAUAAGCACCGGCUAACUCUGUGCCAGCAGCCGCGGUAUUACAGAGGGUGCGAGCGUUAAUCGAAUUUACUGGGCGUAAAGCGCGCGUAGGUGGUUAAUUAAGUCAAAUGUGAAAUCCCCGAGCUUAACUUGGGAAUUGCAUUCGAUACUGGUUGGCUAAGAGUAUGGGAAGAGGAUGGUAGAAUUCCAGGUGUAGCGGUGAAUUGCGUAAAGAUCUGGAGGAAUACGGAUGCCGA
rnacentral:rRNA from 1 species